rnacentral:rRNA from 1 species
UACGUAGGGACCGAGCGUUGUCCGGAAUCAUUGGGCGUAAAGAGCGUGUAGGCGGCCAGAUAAGUCCGCUGUCGAAAUCUCGAGGCUCAACUUCGAGCUGUCGGUGGAAACCAUUUGGCUAGAGUCCGGAAGAGGAGAGUGGAAUUCCUGGUGUAGCGGUGAAAUGCGCAGAUAUCAGGAAGAACACCCGUGGCGAAGGCGGCUCUCUGGGACGGUACUGACGCUGAGACGCGAAAGCGUGGGGAGCGAACAGGG